AAGUCGUAACAAGGUUUCCGUAGGUGAACCUGCGGAAGGAUCAUUAUUGAAUAAAUUUGGUUGGGCUGUUGCUGGCUCCUAGGAGCAUGUGCACGCCUAGCUCCAUUUUUACCACCUGUGCACCUUUUGUAGACCUGGAUAUCUCUCGAGGAAACUCGGUUUGAGGACUGCUGAGCGAAAGCCCUAGCUUUCCUUACAUUUCCGGUCUAUGUCUUUAUAUACCCCAUAUGAAUGUAACAGAAUGUCAUUUACUGGCCAUUGUGCCUUUAAUCAAAUACAACUUUCAGCAACGGAUCUCUUGGCUCUC
rnacentral:misc_RNA from 1 species